AAUGGAGAUAUUAUCACUUACAAUGAAAAUAACCCUUUGGGCAUUCCUAUAAAUAUAGUUAAAGGGUAU
rnacentral:tRNA from 1 species